AUACGGAGGGUGCGAGCGUUAAUCGGAAUUACUGGGCGUAAAGCGCGCGUAGGCGGCUAAUUAAGUCAAAUGUGAAAUCCCCGAGCUUAACUUGGGAAUUGCAUUCGAUACUGGUUAGCUAGAGUGUGGGAGAGGAUGGUAGAAUUCCAGGUGUAGCGGUGAAAUGCGUAGAGAUCUGGAGGAAUACCGAUGGCGAAGGCAGCCAUCUGGCCUAACACUGACGCUGAGGUGCGAAAGCAUGGGGAGCAAACAGGAUUAGAUACCCCAGUAGUCC
rnacentral:rRNA from 1 species